rnacentral:rRNA from 1 species
CGGGACACGUGGUAUCCUGUCUGAAUAUGGGGGGACCAUCCUCCAAGGCUAAAUACUCCUGACUGACCGAUAGUGAACCAGUACCGUGAGGGAAAGGCGAAAAGAACCCCGGCGAGGGGAGUGAAAAAGAACCUGAAACCGUGUACGUACAAGCAGUGGGAGCACAGAGCAAUCUGUGUGACUGCGUACCUUUUGUAUAAUGGGUCAGCGACUUAUAUUCUGUAGCAAGGUUAACCGAAUAGGGGAGCCGAAGGGAAACCGAGUCUUAACUGGGCGUUAAGUUGCAGGGUAUAGACCCGAAACCCGGUGAUCUAGCCAUGGGCAGGUUGAAGGUUGGGUAACACUAACUGGAGGACCGAACCGACUAAUGUUGAAAAAUUAGCGGAUGACUUGUGGCUGGGGGUGAAAGGCCAAUCAAACCGGGAGAUAGCUGGUUCUCCCCGAAAGCUAUUUAGGUAGCGCCUCGUGAAUUCAUCUCCGGGGGUAGAGCACUGUUUCGGCAAGGGGGUCAUCCCGACUUACCAACCCGAUGCAAACUACGAAUACCGGAGAAUGUUAUCACGGGAGACACACGGCGGGUGCUAACGUCCGUCGUGAAGAGGGAAACAACCCAGACCGCCAGCUAAGGUCCCAAAGUCAUGGUUAAGUGGGAAACGAUGUGGGAAGGCCCAGACAGCCAGGAUGUUGGCUUAGAAGCAGCCAUCAUUUAAAGAAAGCGUAAUAGCUCACUGGUCGAGUCGGCCUGCGCGGAAGAUGUAACGGGGCUAAACCAUGCACCGAAGCUGCGGCAGCGACGCUGAUGCGUUGUUGGGUAGGGGAGCGUUCUGUAAGCCUGCGAAGGUGUGCUGUGAGGCAUGCUGGAGGUAUCAGAAGUGCGAAUGCUGACAUAAGUAACGAUAAAGCGGGUGAAAAGCCCGCUCGCCGGAAGACCAAGGGUUCCUGUCCAACGUUAAUCGGGGCAGGGUGAGUCGACCCCUAAGGCGAGGCCGAAAGGCGUAGUCGAUGGGAAACAGGUUAAUAUUCCUGUACUUGGUGUUACUGCGAAGGGGGGACGGAGAAGGCUAUGUUGGCCGGGCGACGGUUGUCCCGGUUUAAGCGUGUAGGCUGGUUUUCCAGGCAAAUCCGGAAAAUCAAGGCUGAGGCGUGAUGACGAGGCACUACGGUGCUGAAGCAACAAAUGCCCUGCUUCCAGGAAAAGCCUCUAAGCAUCAGGUAACAUCAAAUCGUACCCCAAACCGACACAGGUGGUCAGGUAGAGAAUACCAAGGCGCUUGAGAGAACUCGGGUGAAGGAACUAGGCAAAAUGGUGCCGUAACUUCGGGAGAAGGCACGCUGAUAUGUAGGUGAAGUCCCUCGCGGAUGGAGCUGAAAUCAGUCGAAGAUACCAGCUGGCUGCAACUGUUUAUUAAAAACACAGCACUGUGCAAACACGAAAGUGGACGUAUACGGUGUGACGCCUGCCCGGUGC